rnacentral:tRNA from 1 species
GGAUUGUGGCUCAGCGGUAGAGCGCUCACCUAGCAUGCACAGGUCCUGGGUUCAAUCCUCAGCACCA